rnacentral:rRNA from 1 species
AGGCAGCAGUGGGGAAUAUUGCACAAUGGGCGCAAGCCUGAUGCAGCCAUGCCGCGUGUAAUGAAGAAGGCCUUCGGGUUGUUAAAGUACUUUCAGCAGUGAGGAAGUGGGUAUGUUAAUAGCAUAUUCAUUUGACGUUAGCUGCAGAAGAAGCACCGGCUAACUCCGUGCCAGCAGCCGCGGUAAUACGGAGGGUGCGAGCGUUAAUCGGAAUUACUGGGCGUAAAGCGCAUGCAGGUGGUUUGUUAAGUCAGAUGUGAAAGCCCGGGGCUCAACCUCGGAAUUGCAUUUGAAACUGGCAAACUAGAGUACUGUAGAGGGGGUAGAAUUUCAGGUGUAGCGGUGAAAUGCGUAGAGAUCUGAAGGAAUACCGGUGGCGAAGGCGGCCCCCUGGACAGAUACUGACACUCAGAUGCGAAAGCGUGGGAGCAAACAGGAUUAGAUACCCUGGUAG